UACGUAGGGUCCGAGCGUUGUCCGGAAUUAUUGGGCGUAAAGAGUCUCGUAGGCGGUUUGUCGCGUCUGCUGUGAAAUCCCGAGGCUCAACCUCGGGUCUGCAGUGGGUACGGGCAGACUGGAGUGCGGUAGGGGAGAAUGGAAUUCCCGGUGUAGCGGUGAAAUGCGCAGAUAUCGGGAGGAACACCGGUGGCGAAGGCGGUUCUCUGGGCCUUACCUGACGCUGAGGAGCGAAAGCGUGGGGAGCGAACAGG
rnacentral:rRNA from 1 species